GGAGCACCUAGUGUUCAAGAAUAGAAAAGCACAUCCCACUCUAUCGCUCCUCUCCACACGGCAGCAUAAAACCCCUAGGUUCGCCCGGCGAGCGCGACCAGAGACAAUCCAACAGCAGCACGAGCGGGGCACAAACUCGCGAUUGCGAGCACCACAUCCAUGCCGGCUCUGCCACUCGAUCCACAUCCUCUUGCGUGAAGAACUGGUAACCUGAAUCAAAAAGAACCCAACUUUAGAAACUAGCUGCAGCGUAGACAUCAAACAAGGGUAUCACAUAGUCACCUGACCACCGGAUCCACAGGGAAAUCCAUGGCCGAAAAGCCAGUCACGCAGCUCCGGGGCCGCCGGGGUUGAGCAGAAGGACAUCCUCCACGCAUGUAUUUGGCAGAAUGGCACUGACACGUUGCUCUGUUCUGUGAAGCAAACAGAGUUAAGAUUAUAAUCACCACCGAUCCUUCGUUCUUCAAUCCAGAGAAAGGCUGGCAUCAGCUUUCGAAAACCAUGAAGCUAGCUUAUGGAUUAAUCUUCAUGGGGUUUUUACAGUCUGUUGCAUAUCAGAUGUUUGAUCGGCAGGUCCAGGGUCUAUUUGAGGUGAAGAUGAUACUUAAUGACAAUGGUGGUGUCCUAAAAGACUGAAAUCACUAUCUGUAUACUGCAUGUGGUACUAUUGCUUCUUUCGUUUGGCGCUGAAGGCAAAGUGGUUGAAAUAAGCUUGAGUUCAUGAGGGUUCAAUGAAGUCUUAUCACCCAAUAUUGCAAAGUUGACAACACUACAAUGAUUCUAUUGUAGUGUUGUGACCUUCGCAAUGCUGGGCGACAAGACUCCACGUAACCCUGAUGAGCUCAAGCUUCUAAAAAUUGACAAAUGAGAAGAUAAGUCAAUAGUUGUGUGGACACAGGUAGCGUGCUAUUACAAUUACAAACAUAGUAAUAGCUGAUAAGAAAAUACCCUUGUGAACCAUCAAUUAUAUGAAAACUGUCGAUUAUAAUAACGAGCAUGAUGUUUUGGCAUCGGUAACAUAUACUCAUGGUAUCUGUAGCAUCAAGUCUGAACUGGUAAUGCAUGCCAUACACAUUUUUGUUGAGGAUACACACACAUGAACACUAAUAUACCUGUUAUACUAUAGGGAGAUUUAGUGCAAGGGGCUCUAGCUUACAUUUGAUGCAUAACAUCUGCCGUACAUUUUUAAGACAAAAUUUACAUAUGGUUAAAACAAAUGUUUCAGGGUAUAGGCCAUUGAGGGUGUACUGAUACGUCUACGUUAAUUUUUUAUUGUUUCUUGCCAACAUUCUACAACUUUCAUAUACUUUUGGCAACUUUUUAUACUAUUUUUGGGAC